ACAAAGUUUUAUUCUAGCUUAAUAAUUAUAUAUUAAUUUUAUUUAUAUAUAAAUUUUAGUGUGAUUAAAUAAUUAUUUAAAGAAUAAUUAAAUUAGAUUGUAGUAAUUAAUUUUAAAAAUUAAAUAAGUUUAGAUUUAGGAAUAUUAUUUAGUAUUAACAAAUUUUGUGCCAGCAGUUGCGGUUAUACAAAAAAUACAAAUUAAUUUAGAGUUUAGGAAUAAAAUUGGUAAUUUAAAAAUAUGUAAAUUAUAAUUAUUAGGUGAAAUUUUAAUUUUAGUUUAAUAUUAAAUUUAUUUGUUGAAUUUGGAAAUUUAAUUGAUAAACUAGGAUUAGAUACCCUAUUAUUUUAAAUGUAAUUGGAAUUAUUAAAUUAUUAUUAGGUAAGUUCUUGAAAAUUAAAGAUUUUGGCGGUAUUUUAGUCUAUUUAGAGGAACUUGUCCUAUAAUUGAUAGUCCACAAUUUAAAUUACUUGUUUUAAAUAGUUUAUAUAUCGUCGUGUUUGAAUAUUUUUGGAAAAGUUUAAUAUUCAUUAUUUUUUAUUAAAAUUUAAAUCAGAUCAAGAUAUAGUUUAUAAAUAAGUAGAGAUGAGUUACAAUAAAAUUAUUUAUAUGGAAGUAUAAUUUAAAUAUUAUUUGAAGGUGGAUUUAAAAGUAAUUUUAUUUAUUUUUUUAAUAUGAUUUUAGCUCUAAAAUAUGUACAUAUUGCCCGUCGCUUUCAUUUUAAAAUGAAAUAAGUCGUAACAAAGUAGAUUUACUGGAAAGUGAAUCUAGAAAGAU
rnacentral:ncRNA from 1 species